rnacentral:rRNA from 1 species
AUUGAACGCUGGCGGCAUGCCUUACACAUGCAAGUCGAACGGUAACAGGUCUUCGGAUGCUGACGAGUGGCGAACGGGUGAGUAAUACAUCGGAACGUGCCUAGUAGUGGGGGAUAACUACUCGAAAGAGUGGCUAAUACCGCAUGAGAUCUACGGAUGAAAGCAGGGGAUCGCAAGACCUUGUGCUACUAGAGCGGCCGAUGGCAGAUUAGGUAGUUGGUGGGAUAAAAGCUUACCAAGCCGACGAUCUGUAGCUGGGCUGAGAGGACGAUCAGCCACACUGGGACUGAGACACGGCCCAGACUCCUACGGGAGGCAGCAGUGGAGAAUUUUGGACAAUGGGCGAAAGCCUGAUCCAGCAAUGCCGCGCGCAGGAUGAAGGCCUUCGGGUUGUAAACUGCUUUUGUACGGAACGAAAAGCCCCGGGUUAAUACCCUGGGGUCAUGACGGUACCGUAAGAAUAAGCACCGGCUAACUACGUGCCAGCCGCCGCAGUAA